UACGUAGGGCGCAAGCGUUAUCCGGAAUUAUUGGGCGUAAAGAGCUCGUAGGCGGUCUGUCGCGUCGGUCGUGAAAACUUGGGGCUUAACCCUGAGCUUGCGGUCGAUACGGGCAUGACUGGAGUUCGGCAGGGGAGACUGGAAUUCCUGGUGUAGCGGUGAAAUGCGCAGAUAUCAGGAGGAACACCAAUUGCGAAGGCAGCUGGCUACACAUAUAUUGACACUGAGGCACGAAAGCGUGGGGAUCAAACAGG
rnacentral:rRNA from 1 species